UACGAAGGGAGCUAGCGUUGUUCGGAAUCACUGGGCGUAAAGCGCACGUAGGCGGAUGUGUCAGUCAGGGGUGAAAUCCCGGAGCUCAACUUCGGAACUGCCCUUGAUACAGCACGUCUUGAGUCCGGAAGAGGUGGGUGGAAUUCCUAGUGUAGAGGUGAAAUUCGUAGAUAUUAGGAAGAACGCCGGUGGCGAAGGCGGCCCACUGGUCCGGUACUGACGCUGAGGUGCGAAAGCGUGGGGAGCAAACAGG
rnacentral:rRNA from 1 species